CCUAAUCUCUUCUUCUCAGAUCCCCAUGAAUAAGGACAGGCCUGGAGGGCAGGGCUCUGGCAAUUUCCCUAAGAGAUACAGAGUCCCAGAGUUCUGUUUGGUUUCUAGGUUGUGACCCUAUUCCCCGAUUGUACCGAAACCCGUUGUCUCCUCAGAUGAAAUUAGUCCCGCCCCAGUGACCUCACUUAACCUUAAUUACCUCUUUAAAGACCAUAUCUCCAAAUAUGGUCACAUUCUUCAGUACUGGGGGUUAGGAUUUCAGCGUGUGAAUUCUGUAGGAUGCAAUUCAACCUGGAACACCCCACAUCCAAUCUGUGAAUGAAUCCCAGCAGUUCCACCUUCACAACAUAUCGGGAACCCAGCCGCCUCUCCCCACCUUCCCUAUUGUCUUCCUGGUCUAAGCCAUUGCUGACUGCCAUCUGCACCAACCACACUUGCCUCCUAGCAGCCAACGGUGCCCCUGAAUUCCCUUCUCCAGUGACUGAAACGCUGAACCAAGCUUGGAGCUGGAGCAGCCAUUUUGGGCCACGAGGUAGAAGCCAUGUGUUGAAGAGAAUGGAACAAGAUGGAAGAAACCUGGUGAUCAGGGAGCCGCCAUAACAGUCUUGGGUUGUCUCUGUUUACAUGAGAGAUCAGCCCACCCCAUGCAUAUCUGCCAGCUGCCUCUUACACAAUCCCUCAGAGCCCACGGAGCUGCACUGUGGGCCCUCAGAUGAUCUGAUGCAGGUAUAGAACCCCUCCCCCACAUUCUUUUCUUGCUAGCUUGCCUCCAUUACAAACCAUCUUCCUCACUCAGAUAUUUUCAAUCCUGGUAGUUUUUGCUUGUUUGUUUGAGACAGGGUUUCACGCUGUCACCCAGGCUGGAGUGCAGUGGUGCAAUCAUAGCUCACUGCAGCCUUGACCUCCUGGGCUCAAGUGAUUCUCCUUCCUCAGCCUCCCAAAGUGCUGGGUUUACAGGCGUGAGCCACUGCACCUGACUUCCCCAGCAGUUUUGACCGUGAUCUCAUUUGCCUCUUUCUCCUGAUUAGGCCAGCAUUAGAGCAUCCAAGAGGCUGCAUAAUAUGGAAUAAACAUAGGUCAUUAGAUUUAAAUCAAAAUUCUGGCUUUUUACUUCCUAGCGAUGCAAGCUUUGUUGAGUUCCUUAACUUUUCUUAGCACUUCUGCUUUUUAAAAAAAGUUGCUAUAAUACUAAAUCGUAGGAUUUUUGAGAUAACUAAAUGAGAAAAUGUGCAUAAGACUUGCAGCACCUUAAGUGCUCAGUAAAUAGCAACUCUUUUUUUCCCGCUUCUAUUUCCCAAAAUAGUCCUGGCUGGGAAGACUCAUUGUCACAGGCUACACUAAAUAGUUUGGUAUUAUUAUUACUCAGAUUUCAUUCAAUACUUUCAUUCAUCAUUCUAAGGAACACAAUAACAUGUCAUUUUUGGCAUCUGCCUCUGGGGAAGUAAUAGCGUCAUUUUUUCAUAGAUCAUUUUCAUAACUGGCCCUUUGCCCUCACAUAAUACCACAGGGUGGGCUCAGACCGAAACUGUCAAGAUCCUCAAUGGUUUCGCACUUAGCACCAGCCUCCGUUGGUCCCUUGGAAACCGGAACAGUACCAACCAAGAAGUUUCUACUUCGCUUCUACUCAGAUGGCACUGCCGAGAAAAGGUGGGAGGGCUGCCUGCUCAAGUGUGGCCUUUAAAGACAAAGUGGAGAAGAAAAAGAGGUGAGAAUGUGGUGCAGUAGUCUGUGAACCUGAGAUAUGCAGCGGUGGGAAAUAGCGGCCCCUAAGGAGCCAUUUGUAUAAACCAGUUCACAGCUACAUGCAAUGUGCCACCUGCAAACAGAGCCUCUGAGACAUAGAAAGGGUUUUCCAAUAUUGCUUUUACCAUAGAAAGGAUUAUGGCUCAUCUUGGUUCUCGGUGAAAUUUGGUUUGAUGCUGCCUGCACAGUUCCAGAGUUUCUUGGUCUAAGCCAGGGGCCACAGGCCCCCUUACAAACAAGAUGUUUUCUUUAAGAUAUAACUGAGGCUGCUGUAAAAAUGAGAGAUAAAAACAGAACUUUGUUUUUCUUAGGUAAGAGUGUGAGCAUAAGCCUUCCAGAGCUGCCAUGUGAUUCCAUGAUGUUGGGGAUGUAGUUUCUUCCUGUCUUUUUGCUCUAGUAUGCUCCAUACACAGCUUCCAUCUUGUGAUAGCACAUGGCUGCCCCAGCUGCCACUAUCCCAUCCACACUCCAACAGGCAGGAAGAAGAACUAGAGCAAGAGAAGACAUCCUGCUUUCCAUUAAAGGCAGUCUGGAAAUUCCAAGCAUCAAUUCCACAAUCAUCUCCUUGGCCAGAACUUAGUAACUGGCCCACACCUAGCUGCAAGGGAAGCUGGAAUUGUAAUCCUAGGGGGACCAUCAUGAGUCCAUCUGGAACAUUACUAUGGAAGAACAGAAUGCAAUAUUGGGGAACAGCUAGCACUCUGCACAAAGGACUAGACAGGAAUAUAAACCAGUGAUUCUUGCCAGGUGUAAGGACAUAUGUGUAUCUUUUGUGGGCAGUGGAGCACAGAGCAAACAGGGAGAGCCCCAUUUUAAGCAGCAGCCCCUUUCACCUUAGAUGAUGUGGUCAUGCAGAAAUUCAGGCUCCAUGUUCAACUCUGCUGUUUUCAAAAGAAGCCAGGAAUCAACAUUUUAAAAAAUAAUGAAAUCUUGGCCAGGCACGGUGGCUCAUGCUGUAAUCCCAGCACUUUGGGAGGCCAAGGCAGGUGGAUCACCUGAGGUCAGGAGUUCGAGACCAGUUUGGCCAACACGGAGAAAUCCCAUCUCCACUAAAAAAAAAAAAAAAAAAA
rnacentral:lncRNA from 1 species